CCUUUUGGGAAAUCCUGUGAUGUCCUGCUUCCAAACCAGCUUUUAGCCCCUCCCUUCAUCCCUCCCCAUCGCCACUCUGCCACUUCAGGUUCCUCAUCAUUUCUGUUUUUUUUCUUUUUGGCCUCACCACUUCUUAGCUGGACAGCUCCAAUGACCUUGUUUCCCUCUCUAUCCAUUCUUUAUACUGACAUCAAAGUACUUUGGAAAGUACAUUUCUUUUUCUCUAUCUCUUUGUCUUUAUUUAUUUAUUUAUUUAUUUUUCUUUUUGUCUUUUCUAGGACCACUUCCAAAUAAUAUGGAGGUUCUCAGGCUAGGGUCUAAUCAGAAGCUGUAGCCACUGGCCUAACGCCAGCGCCACAUCAAUGAGGGAUCUGAGCCAAAUCUGUGACCUACACCACAGCCCACAGCAAUGCCAGAUCCUUAACCCACCGAGUAAGGGCAGGGAUCGAACCCACAACCUCAUGGUUCUUAGUCGGUUUUGUUAACAACUGUGCCACAAAGGGAACUCCUCUCUUUGUCUUUUUAGGGCCGAACCUGUGGCAUAGGUAGUUCCCAGGCUAGGGCUUGAAUCUGAGUUGUAGCUGCCAGCUUGGACCACAGCCACAGCAAUGCAGGAUCCAAGCUGCUUCUGCGACCUCCACGGCAGCUCACAGCAACAGAUGCUUAACCCACUGAGUGAGGCCAGGGAUCAAACCCGCAUCCUCACAAUUCUAGUCAGAUUCAUCACCACUGAGCCAAAAUGUGAACUCUUGAAAAGUACAUUUCUAACCAUAUUGUUCCCUGAUUGAAAAUCCUUAAGUCCCCCUUUGCUCUUCGGGCCUAGUACUUGGUUCAUGAAGAUGAUGGCUGAAGGUGUGAGUAAUAGAUAACUGUGUAAAGAUUUCUAUGUGUGUUUUUUCAGGAUGUGGAUCUUCUACCAAGUACAUCUUAGAAAGUCAAUGUUCCAGCGAUCAUCACGAGGAAGCUGCGCAGCAUCAAGCCGAGUGGGUAUCAAGAGUCCUGAUGUCCAAGCCAUCACGAACGAUCCUGGGUCUGUUGUCCCCAUGACCACUGGAUUGAACAGGCUUCAGACAACAGACUCCCUAGAAAGACACUGACAUGGGGAGUUCCCUUCAUGGCUCAGCAGAAAUGAAUCUGACUAGCAUCCAUGAGGAUGCACGAUCAAUCCCUGGCCUCUCUCGGUGGGUUUGAGGAUCUGGCACUGCGGUGAGCUGUGGUAUAGAUCCCAGAUGUGGCUCGGAUGCAGUGUUGCUGUGGCUGUGACAUAUG
rnacentral:lncRNA from 1 species